GAGAUAAUCGAGAUUACUGUCUGGAGCUCGAGUAGUUAACAAGAGUGUUUUUAUGCAUGCAAGAUGACAAAGAUCAAAAUGACCCGCCUUCUACACAAUAAAAUGAAAACGAAACUUAAAGGAACAUUGCAAUAAAAACUUGAAUCGUCGUUGAAUGUCAUCAAGCAGAGCUCAACAUGGGAUCGGAUCAAUUUCAAUCUCAGAAUAAAAUUAUUUGUGCACUUUGCGAGAAAUCAGACGAAACUGAAAUCACAGGGCCUCUCUCCUCCAAAGGAAACAUCUCCGCACAUCAAAACUGUUUGUUGUUUGCAUCAGGGAUCUACUGCAAGAAAUCGCCCACCUAUGACGACCUGUUUGGAUUUGAUGUAGAAGAUGUAAAGAAAGAGCUGAAGAGAGGAAAAAGACUACUUUGCCACCUCUGUAAAAAAAACGGUGCUACAGCGGGAUGUGAUGUAAAACGUUGUAAGCGCUCGUACCAUUAUCCCUGCGCCAUAGAGGA